rnacentral:rRNA from 1 species
GUAAUGGCUCACCAAGGCGACGACGGGUAGCCGGCCUGAGAGGGUGACCGGCCACACUGGGACUGAGACACGGCCCAGACUCCUACGGGAGGCAGCAGUGGGGAAUAUUGCACAAUGGGCGCAAGCCUGAUGCAGCGACGCCGCGUGAGGGAUGACGGCCUUCGGGUUGUAAACCUCUUUCAGUAGGGAAGAAGCCUUUCGGGGUGACGGUACCUGCAGAAGAAGCGCCGGCUAACUACGUGCCAGCAGCCGCGGUAAUACGUAGGGCGCGAGCGUUAUCCGGAAUUAUUGGGCGUAAAGAGCUCGUAGGCGGUUUGUCGCGUCUGCUGUGAAAGCCCGGGGCUUAACUCCGGGUCUGCAGUGGGUACGGGCAGACUAGAGUGCAGUAGGGGAGACUGGAAUUCCUGGUGUAGCGGUGAAAUGCGCAGAUAUCAGGAGGAACACCGAUGGCGAAGGCAGGUCUCUGGGCUGUUACUGACGCUGAGGAGCGAAAGCAUGGGGAGCGAACAGGAUUAGAUACCCUGGUAGUCCAUGCCGUAAACGUUGGGCACUAGGUGUGGGGGGACAUUCCACGUUUUCCGCGCCGUAGCUAACGCAUUAAGUGCCCCGCCUGGGGGAGUACGGCCGCAAGGGCUAAAACUCAAAGGAAUUGACGGGGGCCCGCC